GACAGAGGAUGCAAGCGUUAUCCGGAAUGAUUGGGCGUAAAGCGUCUGUAGGUGGCUUUUUAAGUUUGCUGUCAAAUCCCAGGGCUUAACCCUGGCUAGGCGGUGGAGACUACUGAGCUGGAGUACGGUAGGGGCAGAGGGAAUUCCCGGUGGAGCGGUGAAAUGCGUAGAGAUCGGGAAGAACGCCAAGGGCGAAGGCACUCUGCUAGGCCUGAUUUCGCGACUGACACUCAGGGACGAGAGCCAGGGGAGCGAAUGGG
rnacentral:rRNA from 1 species